UGUAUGUAAAGUUUGGAAAAUUUCUUUUGUUGGUUUUAUUUUGAUGACAAAGCUACCUUUAUUUUUAACAAAACCUUUUUAAAUAGAUGCAAAGCAAGCGGGUAUUUUCUUUUACAGCGGUACCUUCACAAAUUCUUUCCAAAAAAUGGGAGUUUUUCUUAUCGACACUAUAAUUUGCCACUGUUUGCUGGAGAGAUUAAAUCAAUGAACCACAUGCAAUAUUACGAGACUGUGUUAUAAAUGAAGUAUGUAACGCUUUAAAGAUUUUUAGAACUUUUGAUGCAGUUUUACUGCAAUAAAUAAAGGCGCAGUAAUUUUA